rnacentral:rRNA from 1 species
GACGAACCGUGCAAACGUUGUUCGGAAUCACUGGGCUUAAAGGGCGCGUAGGCGGCUUGCCAAGUCAGGGGUGAAAUCUUUCGGCUCAACCGGAAAAGUGCCUCUGAUACUGGCAGGCUUGAGUGAGGUAGGGGCAUGUGGAACUUCCGGUGGAGCGGUGAAAUGCGUUGAUAUCGGAAGGAACGCCGGUGGCGAAAGCGACGUGCUGGACCUCUUCUGACGCUGAGGCGCGAAAGCUAGGGGAGCAAACGGG